UGAAUAAUGGCUCCACUCCACCACGCCCUCCUCAGGAGCACAGCUCUCAGCACCAUGGGCCAGCGUCACCCAGGCACUCACAGCCGACUUGAACGUCUGAGUUUUCAUUUCACAGGAGAGGAGAGAGAGGCAGGCUGACUGGGUCCCCACCCACAGCCUGAAGGAAAGAAGGAAGGAGACCUCCAGCAAGGGGCCAGGGCCACCAGUCUCCACUUGUCUUGGGGGCUCCUCCAGUUGGAGGACAGGAAGGUAUGGACCCUCCAGGGAAGAGACGGAAGCAUCCCCAGCUCAAACCUCCCUGAAAAACACGCAGAACACAGAGCAGUGAGUGUGAUUUAUUAAUCUGCCAGGAACUUUUCAAGAUCUUAAUUUGAAAUUUAGAAUCUACUUAGCUGGGUAACAAAAACAUCCGACGCCAGGAACGGUAAAUAAUUUUCCCAUCCAUCGGGCCUUCCAUGUGCCAGCGACUGCUCUUCCUUUCUCUGAGCCGCUCGUGGCAAUUUUCAACUUUUUCUCUCUGCAUUUGGAACGAGUGCCCGGUUCAUCAAAGAAAGCACCAACGGUGGGUUUUGGGGAAAGCCGAAGAGGGACCUCUGCCAGUGUGUGAUUAGAAUACAAGACGGAGGAUCAAGGUUUCCAAGACUUGACCUCUUAUGUGGAAAUCCUGUCUCCAAAUGGCUUCCGGGGGCACCAAAGACCAGGCUGGGAGAUGCCCAGGAAGGGAGACACUCUGAAGCCACCUGAGCCCACAGCCCCUCUGGAUGAGGAGGUGGCAGAGCUGCAUCUCUCUAUUGCCCAGAGAAGAGCCCCUUCUCCUGCAGAAGCUCCUCUGCUCUCCGUCCUGCACACCAGCUCCCAGUUGCUCUUCAACAGCCCUGCCACGGGCACGAGGAGGACGCGUUUGAGGGAGCUCACGUGCCGCCCUCCAGCCAG
rnacentral:lncRNA from 1 species